rnacentral:misc_RNA from 1 species
CUCUAAUGCCCACGUGCGUUUUGUUUGGCCUCAGCCGGCGCUAAAUUCAACCGAAAUCACCUGCAAUUUCAAGGAUUCCACGGUAAAAAAGAGAUCAAAGAGCGCCACACCAUGGUCUUCUUCACGUGCAACAUCUGCGGCGAGUCGGUAAAGAAACCGGCGGUGGAGAAGCACUACCAGAUGCGCUGUCGCGGCAACGACAAGAACGUGUCCUGCAUGGACUGCCUGAAGGACUUUUACGGCGAGGAGUACGUGGCACACACCAAGUGCAUCUCCGAGGCCCAGAAGUACGCCAGCCAAAGUCAGGGCUUUGCCGCCAAGGAGCCGCGCAACAAGAAUGCUCAGAAGCAGGAGAGUUGGAUGGACAUUAUCCGAACGAUCCUCGACAGCAGCGAGUACAAACUAACUCCGCCCGUUCGAUCCGCCUUCCAGAAGCUCCAGAGCGUCGACAAUGUGCCCCGCAAGAAGGCCAAGUUCGAGAACUUCGUGGGUAACUGCAUGCGCAUGCCUCGCAAUCAGGCCACCCAGGUGUGGGAUAUUCUCGAGAAGGAGCUGAACAAGAUGAAGGAGGCAAAGCAAACGGAGCUGGCCAGAGCCAAGGCGGAGAAGGUGGCGGAAAUACAGCGGCAGCAGAAGGCAGACGCCGAGGAGGAGGAGGCGCCACCCAAGAAGAAGGCCAAAGUGGAAGCCACAGAAGAUGCUGCUGUCGAAGAGACCUCCAAUGGCAUUGCGAGCGACUUUGAUUGGGCCGCCCAACUAACUAAAAUCGUUACCAAGCAAUCAGAAGGCAUCUUUCUGGAAAAACUUCGUAAGAAGCUGCUGAAGAAGUAUGCUAAGCAUCUGUCCGUCGAGGAGUUGACCGAAAAACAGGACAAGAAGUUUCAGAAACGGUUUAUUAAGCAACUCAAGCUCGCCGAUUCUUUGCAAGUAGACGGCGAUUUGGUCAAGAUUGCUAGCUAGCCGAAUAUCCCACCUUUAGUCAUAGUUAAAUUAUAACAAAGGACAAUAAACGUAUACUGCAUACACUGCUUCAAAUGAGUGCGGGUCUCUUCGCACUGGGCUGUU